rnacentral:lncRNA from 1 species
GGGGCGCAAAUUACUUGCCUUGCCCCGGGUGCUGACAACCCACGCUACGCCGCUGGUUCUGGGAUCAAAUCAGAAACUGGGAUGGCUUCUGUAAAUCUGGGACUAUCCAUGGAAAACAGGGACCCUUGGAGGACCCUUGUAGAACUGAGCAGGGAGGAGGAUGGGGACAAAAUGAGAAUUAGUUGGCUCUGCCUGUGAUUGGCUGUCUGCCUUCUACCCUACCAGUCAAAAUGGGUACCAGUGAUGAGGUGUGAAUAGAGGUUGACCCUGGGGAGGGAAGGGCCAGGGGAGAGGCCCGUAGGCCCUCAUUUUGCCCCUUGGCAUGAUAUUCCCCUACACCAUAUGACCUGGGAUGGGAUUACCUCUCAUAGUUCAGUGUAUUGGCUAGGCUCAGGGAAUGGAUCCAUCAUAACCACAGACGCCGCUGCAGCCUUCUCAUGUGACUGCUUGAUAAUCAUGGCCUUUCACAUCUUGGCAAGCAAAUGGACUUCAUUAAUGAGAAGGAUAUUUCAACUAAGAGAAGAGGCAGCUUAUUCUCUUCUUAUUUAGUCCAUUUAUUGCCUAAUUAGGACCAGUAAUUAAUGUGUGACCUCUGAGCCAUAGUAAAAUGGAAACUUCUUGAUGCUGUUAAUCAUGUUAAAACAGUAAAAUCAGCAAUGUUCGCUGACUGGCAAAAUCAAUGCUUCUCUCUUCCUUACGCUCACUAGCGCAAUGCCAACAGAAGGAAAACCUGAAAGUGCAAGACAUAUCAAGGAAUGAAGAAGUAAAAAGUGAACUUAGACUGCGAUCUUAUACAUGCUUGCCUGGGAGGAAGCCGCAGCAAAAAGAUUGCCACUUCCUUCUGAGCAGAUAUGUACAGGAUUGCACUUAGACACAUUCAUGCUUAUGAAACAAUGACAGAGGGAAGGAAAGAAAACAAUUUUAAUCUACUCCCUUGGAUAUUUAAAUAGGUGGGUGGGUUAGCACUAUCAAGUCAUCGUACAGCAGAGCAUGGUGGCUGAAGAGAUAGAACACAUUUGCCAUGAUCUAGCACCAUCCGAGUGUGAAAAUGGUAUUUACAUGUGACCAGUUCUGCCAGAACGGGGAUGGGGAAAUCCAUUUAAAUGUGCAUUCAAGCAUCCUUUGAAAGCAGUGAAAUGGGAUAGACGUCUGUGCUCAGAUGUGUCAUCAGAUGUGUAGUCUGACUCACAUCCAGUUUGCACCAAGUUUCAAAUUCUGAUUAGUGUGGCCGGUUGGAAAACAAUGCAGGGAAUCUGCCCCUUUAAUAGUCAUGUAGGAGAUGGAAUCUCAGCAGGUAUAAUCUGUCAUGGAAGUUAGCCUUGCUGAAAUCCCUUCUUCUAGACAACUAUUAAAGGGGCAGGAGCCCUGUAUUCUCCUGCACCUGGAGAUACUAAUUCCGAUCCAAAUAUCAUGCACCCAAAAACUUGCUUUCUUGCAGGCUUCUUCUUCUCUGGUGUUUUGAUAGACCUGAGGCCCACUUUCACUCAUAUGAAAGAUUGAACUCUGGAAGUUAUGGGAAAUGUUUGUACAGUUAUCAUGGUAGUAAUAUGCCACAUGUGAAACUAUCACACAUACUGCAGCAAAGCAACUCUGAACAAGUCUAAUGUAUCCAAACAUUCAUAUUAGGGAUAUGUCCAGUGGUGUCAGAAAUGUCCAUCUCAAAUAAAGCUAUGCAAUUCUAUCUCGGCUGGCCUAUGAGAAAAGUUGCUUAAAUAUUCUUUUACGCUCCCUACCAACUUCUUCAUACAGUAUGUUUCACUUGUUAAGAGAAUUUUCUUCACACACUUUGAGUGCUCUAUACAGAAAAGUAGGGUAAAAUAUACAGAAAUGAAAUAACAAAUUAUCUCGGAACAGCUCUUCAGGCAAAAUCUUGAAACAAUCUUGGGUAAUUUGUUUGUGAGGGCCUCCCCUUGAGAAAUUUUGCCCGUCUUAUUGAUGUGCUUUGGGCUUCCUUCAAAAUUCCUCAGAUGUUUUGCCUGAGGAGAAACCCAACCCCAAUUAAUUCUAAAUUUUGCUUUAGGCAGAAUGUUAGUGUUAACUAAAUUUAAAAUAUUCCCGGGAGCUGUAGCUGGUGCAAAAUGCAGCAGUUUGACUGCUUAUUGGGCAGUGGCAGACUCUGGGCUUUCACAUUUCAGUAAUGCUCUGCGUCACCCAGCGCAAAUGCACCCAGUGCAACUGCACCCAUUGGACUACCCUAAAAUCACCUCUUCGCUGGGGUAUUGUAUCACCAACAUGUCUUCCCACCGUUGAAUGAAUUACACUUGCUGCCAAUUAGCCACCAGGCUAAAUUGAAGCCUACCUAUGAAGCUUGGGAAAGAUUGUCUCACCCCUUAUAAACCCAAUCAAUCACGUGCAGGAGGUGAGGGCCUCCUUCAAGUACCAUCUUAUCAGGAGAUUCAUUCUGCACAAAAUAAAAAAAUAGGCCUUUGGUGUUAUGGCACUCAUAUUUUCAAAUUCCCUCCCAUUAAAUAUUAGACAAGUGCCAUCUCUACAGUCAUACCUCAUCCUGUGUUCUGCUCUUCUUAUGGACUUUCAGCUUACGAACGCGGCAAACCUGGAAGUAUUGACUUCUGGGUUCUCUGCUUGCACAUGUGCAGAAGCAAUCUGUGUGCUUUGCACACAUGCAGAAGCGCUUGAUCGCUCCGUGCACAUGCACGGAAGAGGCGCUCUAGUUGAGGACUUUUCAGGGUGUGAACGGCACCCCAAAAUGGAUUAAGUCUGCAACUAGAGGUACAGUGGUACCUCAGGUUACAUGUGCUUCAGGUUACAGAUGCUUCAGGUUACAGACUCCACUAACCCAGAAAUAGUACCUCAGGUUAAGAACUUUGCUUCAGGAUGAGAACAGAAAUCGUGUGGCAGCGGCGCGGCAGCAGCGGGAGGCGCCAUUAGCUAAAGUGGUGCUUCAGGUUAAGAACAGUUUCAGGUUAAGAAUGGACCUCUGGAACAAAUUAAGUACGUAACCAGAGGUACAACUGUACCACUGUAUUGUCUUUUUGGUGCUUGCCAAAGACCUUCCUUUUCCAACAUGCCUAUUAAGAAGAGAUUUUUCUCAGUCUGCAUCUGUGCUGGAAUUGUCCAAACAGCUAUUCAUGUCAAAAACUUCGCUGCGCCUCAUUUGACUUCUCCUUUUUGUCAUUCGAUAGAAUUUUUGCUCUCAAGUAGCUCCUAUGCAAUAAGGCUAUUACUAAUAAUGAGCCUGGGGAGGCCAUUGAAUGGUCAUAAAUAAGGGAUAGCCAAUGUGGUGCCCUCCAGGUGUUGCUGGACUCCAAGUCUCAUCAGCACCUGUCAUCAUGGCCAAUGUUCAAAGAUGAUGGGAGCUGUAGUCUAACAUCACCUGGAGGACAUGUUUUGUUAUCCCUGCCAAUUAUGAAUUUAGAUCCAUGUGUCUCCAGUUUCAUUUUGUACAUUAAAACACCAAACUGUUUGGGAAUGAACUAAAAAAGAAGAAAAGAUAAGGAAGAUAACCC